UCUUCAUAUGUAAUAGUAGAGAGAAAAGCACGCGCGCGCACACAAAAAAAAAUUCCAUAGACAGACUUUAACUAGCCCCUGUGCGACCCAUCUCCCUCACCCCCAAAAAUUCGCUGAACCUUCUUCUACCCCGUCAAUUACCCCUGAGCAUCAACCGCACUCGGACCUUAUCCUUGUAAAUCCCCUAAAACCUGCUAGAAUUCAGGUCAAAAUCUCUUUACCUUCCUUGAGCCUUCAUUAUGGACUCAUGGUUGCUUACUUCGUUGCUCAAAAUCAAAUUCGAUGUCAGAACCAUCAAUCAAAUUUGGAUUAUGGGGGAUAUGUUUCAUCUCCUUUCACCUUUGUCAAAUCUGAAAGGGUUAAGUUUUGAAAUUUAAAAUUAAUUAUUUUUGGCUAUAAAUAACUGCAUCCAAGUUCAUUAAAGGGGGCAAAAGAAGCAAGUGAGGUGAUGAAGCAAAAAAAGGAGAAAGAAACGUGAAAACUGAGAAAGGGUUUUUUUCCUUCAAUCAAAAUCUCUUUUAAUCGUUGGUUGAAAUUUGAAGUUUUGGAGUUGAGUUCAUCGCCGAAAUUUUGACGUAAAAACUCCAAGUUUGCUGCCCAAAACAAGGGAGUUGGAGUUUCAUAUGGGAUCCAUUUUGACCCAAACAUAGGAUCAACCGCAACUAGGAUCGCAGAGCGUUAGAGUUCCGCAAACUAGGAGCCUAAACUCCUAACAAAAUCUAAUAGCCGUCAUCGUCCUUAGAUUUAAGUUAUAUUUUUAUCGUAUUGAGGUUUUUUUAUGACUAACUCUUGUCGUCUAUUUGUCUAAGGUAGCUUUAUUAGAUUAUUGAA